rnacentral:rRNA from 1 species
GGGAGGCAGCAGUAGGGAAUCUUCCACAAUGGGCGAAAGCCUGAUGGAGCAACGCCGCGUGGGUGAAGAAGGUCUUCGGAUCGUAAAACCCUGUUGUUAGAGAAGAAAGUGCGUGAGAGUAACUGUUCACGUUUCGACGGUAUCUAACCAGAAAGCCACGGCUAACUACGUGCCAGCAGCCGCGGUAAUACGUAGGUGGCAAGCGUUAUCCGGAUUUAUUGGGCGUAAAGGGAACGCAGGCGGUCUUUUAAGUCUGAUGUGAAAGCCUUCGGCUUAACCGGAGUAGUGCAUUGGAAACUGGGAGACUUGAGUGCAGAAGAGGAGAGUGGAACUCCAUGUGUAGCGGUGAAAUGCGUAGAUAUAUGGAAGAACACCAGUGGCGAAAGCGACUCUCUGGUCUGUAACUGACGCUGAGGUUCGAAAGCGUGGGUAGCAAACAGGAUUAGAUACCCUGGUAGUCCACGCCGUAAACGAUGAAUGCUAAGUGUUGGAGGGUUUCCGCCCUUCA